CACCGGUUCGAUUCCGGUUGCCGCCUCCAAGACAUAUGCCGGUGUGGCGGAAUUGGCAGACGCGCACGACUCAA
rnacentral:tRNA from 1 species